UUAGUCUUUAUGAGCAGGCAAAUCCUGGCCUCAACAGUCUGUAUGACAUAUAUAUCUUAUAUCUGUAUAUAUAAUACUAUAUUGCACGUUAGGCUUAAUAAACCUUGAAUGUACAUGAUGUAUGUUCACAUGAGGAAUUGAACAUUAAUAGUAUCACUUUCGAGCCGCCAGCACACACUCAAUGAGUUUGAUUCGAAAUACAUACAUGUAUGAAUGAAAUAAAAUAUAACAAUACAUGAACAUGAUUAAAAUAUUGAUAACUCACAGGUCUAUUAAUACAUUAAAAUGUAUACACAUACUUGUAGAAUUUCGAGCAGGCAAAUCCUGACCUCAAAGUCAAUACCAUUUCUUAACAAUAUACUACCUUUAAU
rnacentral:lncRNA from 1 species